UGGUUAAUAGAAAGGAGAGAACUUUGGCAAUCCCCUUGAGAAGGACGGAAUGAGCUUUUGCUCAACAUAACACACCGUGUGUGUUUGAAGGCAUCGCUCCUCGGAGCAUCUUGGCAUAUUGCCACUAUUUUUU
rnacentral:ncRNA from 18 species